GACGAACGCUGGCGGCGUGCUUAACACAUGCAAGUCGAACGGAAAGGCCCUGCUUUUGUGGGGUGCUCGAGUGGCGAACGGGUGAGUAACACGUGAGUAACCUGCCCUUGACUUUGGGAUAACUUCAGGAAACUGGGGCUAAUACCGGAUAGGAGCUCCUGCUGCAUGGUGGGGGUUGGAAAGUUUCGGCGGGUGGGGAUGGACUCGCGGCUUAUCAGCUUGUUGGUGGGGUAGUGGCUUACCAAGGCAUUGACGGGUAGCCGGCCUGAGAGGGUGACCGGCCACAUUGGGACUGAGAUACGGCCCAGACUCCUACGGGAGGCAGCAGUGGGGAAUAUUGCACAAUGGGCGGAAGCCUGAUGCAGCAACGCCGCGUGCGGGAUGACGGCCUUCGGGUUGUAAACCGCUUUCGCCUGUGACGAAGCGUGAGUGACGGUAAUGGGUAAAGAAGCACCGGCUAACUACGUG
rnacentral:rRNA from 1 species